rnacentral:rRNA from 1 species
GAUGAACGCUAGCGGCAGGCCUAAUACAUGCAAGUCGGACGGGAUUUGGGAGCUUGCUCCUAAUGAGAGUGGCGCACGGGUGCGUAACACGUAUGUAACCUACCUUAAUCAGGGGGAUAGCCUCUCGAAAGAGAGAUUAACACCGCAUAAUAUAUUUUUAUGGCAUCGUAGAAAUAUCAAAUAUUUAUAGGAUUAAGAUGGGCAUGCGGAACAUUAGCUAGUUGGUAAGGUAACGGCUUACCAAGGCUACGAUGUUUAGGGGAUCUGAGAGGAUGACCCCCCACACUGGUACUGAGACACGGACCAGACUCCUACGGGAGGCAGCAGUAAGGAAUAUUGGUCAAUGGGCGCAAGCCUGAACCAGCCAUGCCGCGUACAGGAAGACGGCCCUAUGGGUUGUAAACUGCUUUUGUACCGGAAUAAACCCUUUUACGUGUAAGAGGCUGAAUGUACGGUAAGAAUAAGGAUCGGCUAACUCCGUGCCAGCAGCCGCCGUAA